rnacentral:rRNA from 1 species
GUGUCAGCAGCCGCGGUAAUACGUAGGGUGCGAGCGUUAAUCGGAAUUACUGGGCGUAAAGCGUGCGCAGGCGGUUUUGUAAGUCAGAUGUGAAAGCCCCGGGCUCAACCUGGGAACUGCGUUUGAAACUACAAGGCUAGAGUGUAGCAGAGGGGGGUAGAAUUCCACGUGUAGCAGUGAAAUGCGUAGAGAUGUGGAGGAAUACCGAUGGCGAAGGCAGCCCCCUGGGUUAACACUGACGCUCAUGUACGAAAGCGUGGGGAGCAAACAGGAUUAGAAACCCGUGUAGUCC